rnacentral:rRNA from 1 species
GACGAACGCUGGCGGCGUGCCUAAUACAUGCAAGUAGAACGCUGAAGGAGGAGCUUGCUUCUCUGGAUGAGUUGCGAACGGGUGAGUAACGCGUAGGUAACCUGCCUGGUAGCGGGGGAUAACUAUUGGAAACGAUAGCUAAUACCGCAUAAUAGUAGAUGUUGCAUGACAUUUGCCUAAAAGGUGCAAUUGCAUCACUACCAGAUGGACCUGCGUUGUAUUAGCUAGUUGGUGGGGUAACGGCCCACCAAGGCGACGAUACAUAGCCGACCUGAGAGGGUGAUCGGCCACACUGGGACUGAGACACGGCCCAGACUCCUACGGGAGGCAGCAGUAGGGAAUCUUCGGCAAUGGACGGAAGUCUGACCGAGCAACGCCGCGUGAGUGAAGAAGGUUUUCGGAUCGUAAAGCUCUGUUGUAAGAGAAGAACGAGUGUGAGAGUGGAAAGUUCACACUGUGACGGUAUCUUACCAGAAAGGGACGGCUAACUACGUG